rnacentral:rRNA from 1 species
UCGAGAAUUUUUCACAAUGGGCGCAAGCCUGAUGGAGCGACGCCGCGUGGGGGAUGAAGGGUUUCGAUCCGUAAACCCCUGUCAUUUGCGAACAAACCUUGAUUGUGAAUAGCGAUCGAGCUGAUUGUAGCGGAAGAGGAAGGGACGGCUAACUCUGUGCCAGCAGCCGCGGUAAUACAGAGGUCCCAAGCGUUGUUCGGGUUCACUGGGCGUAAAGGGUGCGUAGGUGGUCGGUGAAGUUCGGUGUGAAAGCUCGGAGCUCAACUCCGAAACGGCAUUGAAAACUCAUCGGCUGGAGGGUCGGAGGGGAGACUGGAAUUCUCGGUGUAGCAGUGAAAUGCGUAGAUAUCGAGAGGAACACCAGUGGCGAAGGCGAGUCUCUGGACGACUCCUGACACUGAGGCACGAAAGCCAGGG